rnacentral:rRNA from 1 species
UACGAAGGGGGCUAGCGUUGCUCGGAAUUACUGGGCGUAAAGGGCGCGUAGGCGGCGGCAUCAGUCAGGCGUGAAAGCCCCGGGCUCAACCUGGGAACUGCGCUUGAGACGGUGUUGCUUGAGGACGGGAGAGGGUGGUGGAAUUCCCAGUGUAGAGGUGAAAUUCGUAGAUAUUGGGAAGAACACCGGUGGCGAAGGCGGCCACCUGGCCCGCUACUGACGCUGAGGCGCGAAAGCGUGGGGAGCAAACAGG